CACAUCCCAGACCACGGCCGCUGCCCCUGGCUUGGCAGAGGCCUUCCAGGUGCCCGGCGCCGUGUCCCAUGCUGGGCCCAACAGCCAGCAGCCCCGCCCCCCAGGUGGCAGCACAAUGCCGGCCCCCAUCAGCAUGGUGCUUUCGGCAGCACCCCCAGGUUUGGGGAGAGGAGAUGAUGUUGCAGAUCUGUGCUCCAGCUUUGGGGCUCUCAGCAACACAGCAGGAACGAGUAUGCCCCAAGUGGCUGGCAGGGCUCCAGGGCAAGCCUGGGCCUGAACACAGGGGGCUGCCCAUGCCAGAGCACCCUGUUGGGGAUUGUUGGAGCCAGCACGAUGAACCAUCCUGUGUCGGGAGCCCCGAGUGCCCCUCCCUUCAGUCACAUCCCCAGGCACCUGACCAAGCAGAGGUCUAGCUCAGAUGGCUGCAGCACUGA